AAUCUGAUUGAUGAAUUGUUCAUCAAGGUCUCUUGAAAUGAUAAAAGAAGGUAUGGAACAGAAAGAGAGCAUGACAAAUCAUUCAAUCGACCGCAUGGCUGACAGAACAAGCAAGAUGCUGAAAGUUCAACUGGUCGAAGAUCUCGUUCAAAGACUGAUUGCAAGGCAAGCAUGCAUGUAAAAAGAAGGCCUGAUGGAAAAUGGGUAGUUCACAGUUUUGUGAAGGGGCAUAAUCAUGAGCUUUUACCAGCUCAAGCUAAAACUAGGCAUGACUAUAUGAACUUUUGUGAUGUGGUUUCUUCUGAUAUAAUCUAUGUUACGAACAAAUAUAAGUUGCCUCUCUUGCGCUUUUGUUGGAGUAAAUCUGCAAUAUCAAUUUUUACUGCUUGGGCGUGCCUUAAUAUCAGAUGAAAGUUGUAACUUGAUCCAGAAUAUCUGUUGUUUACUACGGAUCAUGUUAAGAAAUGGUAGAAGGGUUUGGUGUUAAAAGAUCUUGUAGAGGUGGUUGGUUGUAUUGUAGUUCUGAUUCUUUAGGCUACAUGGUAAGUUGUAAUGAGAGUAUUGUAGUUUGUCAUGAAAAUUUUCAAAUGUUCUUCAUUUUCCAUUA